GAUGAACGCUGGCGGCGUGCCUAAUACAUGCAAGUCGAGCGAACGGACGAGAAGCUUGCUUCUCUGAUGUUAGCGGCGGACGGGUGAGUAACACGUGGAUAACCUACCUAUAAGACUGGGAUAACUUCGGGAAACCGGAGCUAAUACCGGAUGAUAUUUUGAACCGCAUGGUUCAAAAGUGAAAGACGGUCUUGCUGUCACUUAUAGAUGGAUCCGCGCUGCAUUAGCUAGUUGGUAAGGUAACGGCUCACCAAGGCAACGAUGCAUAGCCGACCUGAGAGGGUGAUCGGCCACACUGGAACUGAGACACGGUCCAGACUCCUACGGGAGGCAGCAGUAGGGAAUCUUCCGCAAUGGGCGAAAGCCUGACGGAGCAACGCCGCGUGAGUGAUGAAGGUCUUCGGAUCGUAAAACUCUGUUAUUAGGGAAGAACAUAUGUGUAAGUAACUGUGCACAUCUUGACGGUACCUAAUCAGAAAGCCACGGCUAACUACGU
rnacentral:rRNA from 1 species